rnacentral:pre_miRNA from 1 species
UCUUACGGAUGAGCAAAAACAGUGGUUUCCUGAGAUGGAAUCUGCUCCCGGUGUAAGUGCUGUGAA